rnacentral:rRNA from 1 species
UCCUACGGGAGGCAGCAGUAGGGAAUCUUCCGCAAUGGACGAAAGUCUGACGGAGCAACGCCGCGUGAGUGAUGAAGGCUUUCGGGUCGUAAAACUCUGUUGUUAGGGAAGAACAAGUGCUAGUUGAAUAAGCUGGCACCUUGACGGUACCUAACCAGAAAGCCACGGCUAACUACGUGCCAGCAGCCGCGGUAAUACGUAGGUGGCAAGCGUUAUCCGGAAUUAUUGGGCGUAAAGCGCGCGCAGGUGGUUUCUUAAGUCUGAUGUGAAAGCCCACGGCUCAACCGUGGAGGGUCAUUGGAAACUGGGAGACUUGAGUGCAGAAGAGGAAAGUGGAAUUCCAUGUGUAGCGGUGAAAUGCGUAGAGAUAUGGAGGAACACCAGUGGCGAAGGCGACUUUCUGGUCUGUAACUGACACUGAGGCGCGAAAGCGUGGGGAGCAAACAGGAUUAGAUACCUUGGUAGUCCACGCCGUAAACGAUGAGUGCUAAGUGUUAGAGGGUUUCCGCCCUUUAGUGCUGAAGUUAACGCAUUAAGCACUCCGCCUGGGGAGUACGGCCGCAAGGCUGAAACUCAAAGGAAUUGACGGA